CUGAAAAUGAGGUUUUUUUCAGUCAUAAUAAUAAUAAUUACCUAAUACAGCAGUAUAUGCAUGACCUAAUGUGUAUGAAAUUUGGAGCAGCUUACUAAAGAAGAUUGAAAUAGGUUUGAUUAGUCUAUGACAGUUGGGUUAUAGAGUGGAUGACUUUGUAUUUUGCAUAAAUUUGCAUUAUUUGAACUUUUCUCUCCGGUCUCCCACUAUGCAUUUUGCCAGGUAAAUAUAUUAACCUCAUUUUUGUUUUUUUUUUUAUGUACUUACUAAUUGUUGUUCAACUUUAUUCCUUUCUUCGAAGAAAAAUCUAUUGCAGUGGAGCCAAAUAUAUAUAUUUUUAUCUAAACUCUGUAUGUAUUUAGAUGCAUAUGUAUGUCAUGCAGAAAUUCCAGGAUUAAAUUCUGUGAGUUACAGCAUCAGAUGGUAGCACUGGUAGCAAGUCUAAUGUUCCUUUUCAGAUAUCAUUCUUAAAGUCUUUAUAAUGAAAUUGGGCUCAGACUGUGACAUAAUCCAGAAAUGUAAGAUCCCCCAUGACAUACUUGUCACUUUGUCACUGAUUUUUUUCCAACUUGAAAGGAGGAACCUUAAAAGAAAAAAAAACCUCAACAUUUUUUAAUCCAUUACAAUUUUUACAAGGCUUUCUUAUGCAGUAGCUGCUGUAGUUAAGUGUGUGGUAACCCUUUGAAUGUGGGGGGGGAGGUUUAGGCCAUUAAAUCCAAUUGCAUUUUAGGCUUCUAUGUUGUCAUAGAAAAACUCAAGCUGUAGAAAUGCAUCCAUUUUAAUUUUUUUUUUUAAUUUAUUCUUUUCCCCUAAUUAUGUUCAGUUUUGAUGUGAAAUAGUAAGAAAUCAGAUUUCUUAUUCUGAGGUAACUUUUGUACUGACUGAAACUGGUAGUGGAACUUCUGCUUCUGCAGAAGAGAUUUAGGACUCCUUUGAAUCAAAAUGGGAGUCCUGUUAGGCGCAAAUUUACCUGGGAAAGUCAAGAUAUCACAAACACGGAUGUCGCAAACAAGCUGGUGCCUGAGCCAAAUGCUGCUGAAAUCAAAGAGGUGUCUGCCAUUAGGUAGGAGCAAAGAAGAGCUGGUGCUGGUUUGAAAAGUCUUGAGAGGAUUAGCUCUGUGGUUAUUGUUGAGAAAUGGGACUACACCAGUGGGAAGGGCAGUGCGAGGCUUUCAGAUAAUUCCUCAUUCACACCAAAGCCCUUUGAUGUUCAUCUGGGCUUAGUGCAGGUCUGAUUUAGUGGCUGUUACGGUGCGUUAGUAAUAUGGAAUUACUUUUUAUGGCCAAUUCUAUUUAUUUCACUGUAGUUUAAUUGCAUAUGUGCAUAACAAUCAAGAACUAAUUGGAGUUAUGGUAAUUUAUAGUGUAGUAGUCAGGCUGUUUUCAAAGCCCUACUAAUCAGUAAUUGUGUGAAGUCGUAGGUUGUUCGGUUGGGCUCACUUCAGUGCGCGGGUCACACUUUACUGUCACAGCAAGGAAGGAUUUCUUUGAAGCUCUUGCAGGCUUCUACAGGGGGAUUUCAUCUGUCAGGACCAUAGAUCUUGCCUGGUAACUAUUUUAAAGCAAAAAUAACUACCCUUAUAAUUUACUGGUUUUUAGAUCUCCCAAAAGUUACUUGUUGUAACUCAUUCAUUAGCUUUUAAAACAGCAAAAAUGUGUGAGGUUUCUAUUUCUAGAGCACUAGAUUCACUUUUUUUCUUUUGUGCUUCAGAACUGUAUCAUGAAGUACCCGACUUCCAUCUUGUUUAUUCAAAUGGAAAGAAAAUAAUAGAUGUUGCUGUAGUCUUUAGGUCAAAGGAACACAAAGAGACGGGCAAGUCCAUCUUAUUGCUGACUUCCAUUGGUCGCUUUUGAAUUUCCUGAUUUUUGUGACUCCUCUCUUUCACAAUGUUGAAAUGUAUUUAAAAAGGUUUGUCUGUAAUGUUUCUUGUCUGCUUUUUGUCUCUAGAGGAAAGCGUGCUCUAUUCACAUUUAUAUAAGCUGGAAUCGUACUUUACAAUCACUGUCGAUUAUUUUUCCCCCAAAUGCAGAGGAAAAUGAACACGGCAAAAGCCAGUUUCUAGGGUUUGGUCUUCUGUAGAAGCUGAAAUAAGGAUAUGUGAAACUGACAUUUUCCUUAUGACAGACGGUAAAGAGAGCAUUAAUUUCUGAGCGAGCUUUUCUGGGGAGGAGGGGGAGAAACCCUAGAAUACGGAGUCUCAUCAGAACCCUUUUGUUAACGGGUAUUUUUGUUUUUUUUUUUUUCUCUCAAAUGAUUGAGUAAAUAUCAUGUAUGAAUUUAUAAAUAAUUGCUUUCAGUUAUUUCUUUUGUAUAAGCUGCCCAGUACCCUUGCUAUGCUGUAUAAGUUGUGUUUCAUGGAACAGUGUGAGUAUGAAAUAAAAGCUAAUUUUUGUUUUUUAAUCAUCUGUGGAUGCCACUAUGAAAGCUGACAUUGUUAAAGCCACUACAGAGUUUUCUAUGAAUACUUGUAAGAAUUGCUUUGUUAUAUAUAAACCUAAAUAAAGAGAUUGUAUUGAUACAGAGACAUUGGAUAAGAACGUUUAAAAGGCUAUUCUUUAGGUCUAAAAGAAAAGGCUUGCUGUAAAAUGGUGCAUUAUUCCAUUUAUUAAAGAUCAUAUUAAU
ensembl:lncRNA